rnacentral:lncRNA from 1 species
GUCCCAGGGACCAUCUCGGUUUCAACAGGUACCUCAUUCAUGUCGCGAGGGGUCUCAGCAUGAGCACCAAGAGAGUCGAGGACGUGAAGUUGAGGCCGCGUAUGAAAGAUACUUACGGGAGAAGGAGAAACACGUCAACGAAGAAUAAUGGGUGGUUUCCCUAUUCGAGAACGGCGUGUAACAGCAGCGGAGCUCUUCACGGUCCCCCUGCAGAGGGUUCCGGUUACUCUGUGUAGGAAUAGCCGGCGGAAUAUGAUGCUUUGUCACUCGCGGAAAUAAAUAUGUGGAUGGGGAAUUGUGGCGAGCAAGUUUUCGAAGUGGAAAUCACGGGGUGGACGCCUAAACCAGACUCGGUUGGAGUGAUGUUUUGAGACGCGUAGAUCAUGACAUAAGCCACGUCUUGAGUUUGUCUUUUCUGUCGAGCAGUAAGUGAACGUCCGAAAAUUUGACAGAUGUCUCUCCGCAACAGUAGCACCUACUGCGGGGCACUGACGUAAUCUCACGCCUCGACCCCUUCUCUGGCGUAACGACCAAACAUCAGUAAUAGUUUUUUGCCUCCCUCUCUGUUACCGCUAAUUUCACCUGCCGGAUAACACCUAACGUUGUGUAAUUUUGUUUUCUUCGCUGUUUCUACGUCAACCGUUGCCGCCUCAGCACUACCUCCGCUUGUACGAGCAGGUGUUCCACAUCAACAUGCCGAUCGAAGACAUACAGAAAGCUGUACUUCCCGAAGAGAAACA